rnacentral:rRNA from 1 species
ACCGGCAGCUCAAGUGGUGGCCAUUUUUAUUGGGCCUAAAGCGUUCGUAGCCGGUUUGAUAAGUCUCUGGUGAAAUCCCGCAGCUUAACUGUGGGACUUGCUGGAGAUACUAUUAGACUUGAGGUCGGGAGAGGUUAGGGGUACUCCCAGGGUGGGGGUGAAGUCCUAUAAUCCUGGGAGGACCAACUGUGGCGAAGGCGCCUAACGGGAACGAACCUGUCGGUGGGUAACGAAAGUCAGGGGCGCAAACCG